GACGAACGCUGGCGGCGUGCUUAACACAUGCAAGUCGAGCGAUGAAGCACCUUCGGGUGUGAAUUAGCGGCGAACGGGUGAGGAACACGUGAGUAAUCUGCCUUCAACUCUGGGAUAACUCCGGGAAACCGGGGCUAAUACCGGAUAUGAACCUUGAUCGCAUGAUCAGGGCUGGCAAGUUUUUCGGUUGAAGAUUAUCACGCGGCCUAUCAGCUUGUUGGUGAGGUAAUGGCUAAACAAGGCGACGACGGGUAGCCGGGCGGAGAGCGCGACCGGCCACACUGGGACUGAGACACGGCCCAGACUCCUACGGGAGGCAGCAGUGGGGAAUAUUGGGCAAUGGAGGAAACUCUGACCCAGCGACGCCGCGUGAGGGAUGAAGGCCUUCGGGUUGUAAACCUCUUUCAGUAGGGAAGAGGCGAAAGUGACGGUACCUACAGAAGAAGCACCGGCUAACUAUGUGCCAGCCGCCGCAGUAA
rnacentral:rRNA from 1 species